rnacentral:rRNA from 1 species
GACGAACGCUGGCGGCGUGCCUAAUACAUGCAAGUAGAACGCUGAAGGAGGAGCUUGCUUCUCUGGAUGAGUUGCGAACGGGUGAGUAACGCGUAGGUAACCUGCCUGGUAGCGGGGGAUAACUAUUGGAAACGAUAGCUAAUACCGCAUAAGAGUAGAUGUUGCAUGACAUUUGCUUAAAAGGUGCAAUUGCAUCACUACCAGAUGGACCUGCGUUGUAUUAGCUAGUUGGUGGGGUAACGGCUCACCAAGGCGACGAUACAUAGCCGACCUGAGAGGGUGAUCGGCCACACUGGGACUGGGACACGGCCCAGACUCCUACGGGAGGCAGCAGUAGGGAAUCUUCGGCAAUGGACGGAAGUCUGACCGAGCAACGCCGCGUGAGUGAAGAAGGUUUUCGGAUCGUAAAGCUCUGUUGUAAGGGAAGAACGAGUGUGAGAGUGGAAAGUUCACACUGUGACGGUAUCUUACCAGAAAGGGACGGCUAACUACGUG